GAUGAACGCUGGCGGCGUGCCUAAUACAUGCCAGUCGAGCGAACAGACGAGGAGCUUGCUCCUUCGACGUUAGCGGCGGACGGGUGAGUAACACGUAGGUAACCUACCUAUAAGACUGGGAUAACUUCGGGAAACCGGAGCUAAUACCGGAUAAUAUUUCGAACCGCAUGGUUCGAUAGUGAAAGAUGGCUUUGCUAUCACUUAUAGAUGGACCUGCGCCGUAUUAGCUAGUUGGUAAGGUAACGGCUUACCAAGGCAACGAUACGUAGCCGACCUGAGAGGGUGAUAGACCACACUGGAACUGAGACACGGUCCAGACUCCUACGGGAGGCAGCAGUAGGGAAUCUUCCGCAAUGGGCGAAAGCCUGACGGAGCAACGCCGCGUGAGUGAUGAAGGUCUUCGGAUCGUAAAACUCUGUUAUUAGGGAAGAACAAACGUGUAAGUAACUGUGCACGUCUUGACGGUACCUAAUCAGAAAGCCACGGCUAACUACGUG
rnacentral:rRNA from 1 species